CGAGUUUGAUCCUGGCUCAGAUUGAACGCUGGCGGAAUGCUUUACACAUGCAAGUCGAACGGCAGCACGGGGCAACCUGGUGGCGAGUGGCGAACGGGUGAGUAAUAUAUCGGAACGUGCCCAAUCGCGGGGGAUAACGUAGCGAAAGUUACGCUAAUACCGCAUACGAUCUACGGAUGAAAGCGGGGGAUCGCAAGACCUCGCGCGAAUGGAGCGGCCGAUAUCAGAUUAGGUAGUUGGUGGGGUAAAGGCUCACCAAGCCAACGAUCUGUAGCUGGUCUGAGAGGACGACCAGCCACACUGGAACUGAGACACGGUCCAGACUCCUACGGGAGGCAGCAGUAGGGAAUUUUGGACAAUGGGCGCAAGCCUGAUCCAGCCAUUCCGCGUGCAGGAUGAAGGCCUUCGGGUUGUAAACUGCUUUGUACGGAACGAAAAGGUUUCCUUAAUACGGAGAGCUCAUGACGGUACCGUAAGAAUAAGCACCGGCUAACUACGUG
rnacentral:rRNA from 1 species